rnacentral:rRNA from 1 species
ACCCUUUAAACUUUAUACAACUUUCAGCAACGGAUCUCUUGGCUCUCCCAUCGAUGAAGAACGCAGCGAAAUGCGAUAAGUAAUGUGAAUUGCAGAAUUCAGUGAAUCAUCGAAUCUUUGAACGCACCUUGCGCCCUCUGGUAUUCCGGAGGGCAUGCCUGUUUGAGUGUCAUUAAAUUCUCAA